rnacentral:rRNA from 1 species
UACGUAGGGCCCGAGCGUUGUCCGGAAUUACUGGGCGUAAAGAGCUCGUAGGUGGUUUGUCGCGUUGUUCGUGAAAACUCACAGCUCAACUGUGGGCGUGCGGGCGAUACGGGCAGACUUGAGUACUGCAGGGGAGACUGGAAUUCCUGGUGUAGCGGUGGAAUGCGCAGAUAUCAGGAGGAACACCGGUGGCGAAGGCGGGUCUCUGGGCAGUAACUGACGCUGAGGAGCGAAAGCGUGGGGGGCGAACAGG